GGAUGAACGCUGGCGGCGUGCUUAACACAUGCAAGUCGAACGGUGAAGCCUAGCUUGCUGGGUGGAUCAGUGGCGAACGGGUGAGUAACACGUGAGCAACCUGCCCCGGACUCUGGGAUAAGCGCUGGAAACGGCGUCUAAUACUGGAUACGAACCGCGACCGCAUGGUCAGUGGUUGGAAAGAUUUUUUGGUCUGGGAUGGGCUCGCGGCCUAUCAGCUAGUUGGUGAGGUAAUGGCUCACCAAGGCGUCGACGGGUAGCCGGCCUGAGAGGGUGACCGGCCACACUGGGACUGAGACACGGCCCAGACUCCUACGGGAGGCAGCAGUGGGGAAUAUUGCACAAUGGGCGCAAGCCUGAUGCAGCAACGCCGCGUGAGGGAUGACGGCCUUCGGGUUGUAAACCUCUUUUAGCAAGGAAGAAGCGAAAGUGACGGUACUUGCAGAAAAAGCGCCGGCUAACUACGUGCCAGCAGCCGCGGUAAUACGUAGGGCGCAAGCGUUAUCCGGAAUUAUUGGGCGUAAAGAGCUCGUAGGCGGUUUGUCGCGUCUGCUGUGAAAACCCGAGGCUCAACCUCGGGCCUGCAGUGGGUACGGGCAGACUAGAGUGCGGUAGGGGAGAUUGGAAUUCCUGGUGUAGCGGUGGAAUGCGCAGAUAUCAGGAGGAACACCGAUGGCGAAGGCAGAUCUCUGGGCCGUAACUGACGCUGAGGAGCGAAAGGGUGGGGAGCAAACAGGCUUAGAUACCCUGGUAGUCCACCCCGUAAACGUUGGGAACUAGUUGUGGGGUCCAUUCCACGGAUUCCGUGACGCAGCUAACG
rnacentral:rRNA from 1 species